rnacentral:miRNA from 1 species
AGUGAAACUCUGUCUCAAAAAAAAAAAAGACAGUGAAAAAGCAAAUCACAUUUUAAGUUUUUGUUUGUUUUUUGAGAUGGAGUCUU